rnacentral:lncRNA from 1 species
ACUUUUUACUACAAUUUUUUUACUCCAUUGAUGCACUCAAUUUUACCAAAAUUUGUUUUUCGAUGUUGGCCCCUUAGUGAAUGUGAGUGAAUAGUAACUCCAUUACAACUAUUUUUUUUUCGAUUUGUUCAUUGGUAACUUGUCCCAUAAUAUUUUUGAAUAUAUAAAUGUGAGUGCCAGUAACUGUUACUACCCAUUUUUGUCCCAAUUUUGCUCUUCCCUCUAUUUUUAUUAGUUUUGCCCUUAGAAUUACUACACGGGAUAUACUAAUAAAAGAUAUUGAGUGAACAAUGUUCACUUAACACCCAAAUAUUUGGGUUACAAAUUCUUGCCUUGACCAUUUUUUAAUUUAGUUCUUUAAAACUAUCGGUUCUACCAAUUUAGUUCGCCCCUACGUGUUUUCGAUUUUGCUCCUUAUAUUUUUUUUAAUAUUUUUUUUAAUUUUGACCCUACCUAUUUGUUUUGUCAAUUUUGCCCAUAUUUUGUAUCAAACAUUGUUAAAAAAUUGAGUACAAAGGUUUUUCUUUACAAUAAUCUGUCUUUCAGAUUUGACUCUGACACUAAUUUUUUUUUUUUUUCGAUUAUUGCCCUUGCCAUUUGAUUGCGAUUUGCAUUUUUUACCAAAUUUUUCAUUUAAUCUUUUGACGAUUUUACCACACAUUAUUUUUUUUAUUUAUUUUUGGGAAAAAUAGUUUCUGUACCACAUUUUUGUACCGAUUUUGCCCAUACCAACUUUUUGAUGAUUUUAUCACUUUUUUUGCCGAUAAAGCCCCUACCUAUUUUUUUUUACCGAUUUUGCCCCUUACUGAAUGUUGGACGGUUUUAACCCUUUUAGUUGAUCAAGUUACUCGCUCGUGCAUAGCACGGGCAUACUCUCACUAGUAUAUAUAUACGGGGUUUGUGAUUAUGGAACACAAAAAAUAUGGAAACAACGGAAGGUAAUUUCUUGGAUUAUUUUUUUAUUUAUUAUUUUUUUCUAACUAUAUGCUGUGUGGAAUUUUGUACUCGCAUGAGUUAUGUUUAGGCCACAUAAUAGAAAAAGAGAAGAAAGGGCCCGUGUUGAAAAAAGUAAACUAUAGUGAAGGAAAAAGGGCGAGCAUCGGGAUGAGCGAGAGUUUGUUUUUUGGAAGUUUCGGGUUCGAUUUUUUGCUGCUGCACUACAUAUCUGCGAUUUAUUUCCCAUGUGUUGGCUGAGGGCACGACUGACGUGGGCCACAUAUUAGUGUGAAAAUUGAAAAUUCAUGAUCUAGGAUAUUAUGCUACAUGACUAAAUUGUAUAUCCUUUUGGCAAAAAUACACACCAAAAGUCUCCCCCCCACCCCCACCCCCGCAAAAAACACCCCCCCACCCCAUCUCUAUCUCUCUCUCACUCGCUCACACCCACCCCAAAGGAAAAAAUAGUCUUUUUCUCUUGGUUACGUGCAAAAAAAAAAGGGUUUGAUUUUUUCAAUUUGGAUCUAGUGAGGAGAUGGUAGUGGUGGUGGAUGCAAUAUUAGAGGGGGGUGGGGUGGGGGGUGGGGGUUAAAAUUUGAUUUUAACAAUAUUUAUUGCUGUCAUUAUCCAAAUAGGGAAAAAUUAUAAUAUAACUUAAAACUUAGGAAAGGUGAGCGUAAUUUUUAAAAAGUGAGAGAUGAAUCUGUAUUAAAUAUAAACCUCAGGAAAUGUCAUUAUAAUUUGCCCUAAUUCUUAUUAUUAGAUACAAGACAAUUGAUUUCAUAAGAGAAAGAGGUCCACUUAAUUAUUUGCAUUUAGUACAUGAAAAAAGUAAAGGUGAUGGAUCAAAUUACAUGUAGUGGAGGGGUGUAUCAUUAAGGGUCUCAGUAAAAAUAAAUGAUAUUAAAAAUAUUUUAUUAUUAUAGAAUUGUAUACCCAAUAAUUUUUCUAUCUUAAUGACGUUCUCACUGCUCAGACUUGUGACACAUCUUACCAUCGAUGUCACUUAUGAGAUCAUAUUCGACUAUCUCUUAAAAUUAAUUGAUAAUUGAUAAUUAAUAAUUUAUAGCAUUCAACGUCGCACUCUCGUAUCCAUAAUCCUAUUUUUAGAGCUGUGGUAUAGGAGACAACAUUGUGUACCUAAUCCUUGUGGUAAUUGAUAGCUAAGCAAGGGACUCCAUUUGUCAAUUUGGUUGGAAGCAUAUUUAGAUCAUUUCUCUACCAAUGACUUGUGGAUGUGGUCUAUUUUGAUAUUAGCCCAUUAACAAAGCCACACAUUAUUUUUAAUAAUUUAGUUUUUGAUCUACUGAAUCGACUAAUCUACGAGACCAACAUUCACAUCAUCUACAAACAAAAGACUUAUUCAAAAUCGAGACAAAAUCAUAGAUGAAUUGGGUCAACUCAAAAUUAAUAAGACGUAAAUAUAAGUCGAACAACAAACGAAAGGUAUUAUUGCGAUAACAACCCAAGCUUUGUCACGCAAUGAAAUGUCUCCAAACUUCAAUUUGAGGAUGAUAAAUUAAACAAAGCACAUCCUAUGCUAUGAUCUUUUUUUCCAUCUUUUUUUGACACUAACAAAUUCAGAAUCUAAUUAAAUUGUCGCAUUUAAUUACGCGAAUUAAGCAUAGCAAAGGACGAAACUAUGGAAGAAAUGAUGGUUGAUCUCGUGGUGGGCCCUCCUCAAGAGUUAAUGCAUUGAGUUGGUCUUCACACAGCGACAGAGCAGAAGAAUCUCUUUUUUCUGUGAAAUGAUUAAAGCUCCAUGGCCCAUUUGCAAGGAACCAACUUUUUGUGACUUGUGGCUUGUCAAGAUGAAGGGAAUGUUUGCCAUAACUUGUAAGUUCAAAAAUAGUUUAUUUUCAAAAGUUUUAUUUAAUUUUUUUAACUUUUAUUUUUAAAUAAAUAAAUUAACAUAAAUUCAAUUAUAUCAAAUAUUUUUGAAAUAUGCCAACCCCUUCUCUCCCCGCUCUCCGAAUUGCAAAUAAGUGUGACGAGAAUCGUUUAUUUUGUAUCACUAGUUAGUCAGAUAACUUGUAAAAAAAUUUGGUAACUUAAACAUUGUGUUUUAUGAGUAAUCAAGGUUCUAUGUCAAAUCAAUUGUAUAAAACUAGUGCUUUAACACAUUUAAUUUAAUCAUUUGACUAUCUCAGUAUAAUAGUUUAAAUUGAAGAAUAAACGAUUUUUAAGCGCACUCCAUUUGGGCUUUGCAACCACAUUGUUGCGUUCCGUCCAUUAGACUUGCUAGCACCCACCCUAAAUUCUUCCUCUCUCUAGUCUCAAACUGAAAAAUCAGGGAAAAUUUUAGGCACGUGCCUCAGAAAUGAUGCACAUAGUACUCCAAUGCAAACCAUUAUUACAAUGAUUCGCAGCAAAUACACAACAAAUUAUAACACAAGAAAAACAAAAUGUCACAACUUUUUUACAACUCGAAACAAAAAGCACGAUAAUGCGUAACCAAUCACCAUAUAAUUAGACUUUUUUUAACAUGCUUAUUAUCUAUAACAUAAAUCACAAUUGAUUAUAAUAAACAUCACAAUUUUUUUCAUAGCCGUGAAGACUCCAUUGUUUUUUCCCUUAGAAAACAUGAUUCAUAUUAAAUAUUCUUGCAUUUGUUAUCUUGGUAUCAACCUUAGCCUAUUAUGGAUCACGAAUGGUUUGAUCUAAUAACCAGAUCCAGUAUAUAUAUACAUGGUGUGGAUAAUGUUUCCCAUCCAAGUCUAUAAUAAAAUAGAUAUUCAUGAUAUAAGUUCAUAACAUACAGAUAUUUGAGAAGUCAUCAGUGAGAAAAAAUAAAGAGUUUUGGCAUUCUGCAUUAGAGUUUUUGUGAGGAGCGCAACACUAUGCUAGCUGGCUCGUAAGCACCAUAUUAAUAAUGACUAUUUGUCGUGUGACCGUUGUAUCUGAGAGACAGACGCCCAAUCAGCCGUGUUAAGCACCAAGUGACGUGGCAAAUUCCCUUUAAGAGACAGUGUGAAUGCCGAUGUUUUAUUUUUGAUAUUAUUUAUAUUAUACUAAAUUUUAUUUUUGUUAUAAUCUGAUAUUUUAAAUUGCAAAUUUAUUUUAUAUUUUAUUUUUACAUCUAAAUUCAGCAGUUUUCUGAAAUUUAAAGAACACUCCAAACUAAAGUUGUUAUUGUGAUAAUGACCCAAGCUUUGUCAUGCAAUGAAGGUCUCCAAACUUCAAUUUGAGGAUGAUAAACAAAUUAGUGAAAAUAGAAAAUAAAAAAAAGCAAAUUAGUGAAAAUAGAAAAUAAAAAAUAAAAUAUUACUUACUUGCUUAUAUUCAUUUUUUUAAUAAACAAGUUAUUGAAAAUUAGAGUUUUUAUUUCUAACAAAAAAAACCUAUUCAUUUUGUAUUUUCAUCUUCCUAACUAGACCUCAAAAGAGCAAAAAAUAAUUUCUUUCAUUUCAUUUUUAUUUUCUUUUUUUUUCCCUACUUUUUCUUCCAUCUUUUCUUGACACAAACAAAUUCAGAAUCUAAUUAAAUUGUAGCAUUUAAUUACGCAAAUUAAGCAUAGCAAAGGACAAAAAUAUGGAAGAAAUGAUGGUUGAUCUCGUGGUGGGCCUUCCUCAAGAGUUAACGCAUUGAGGUGGUCUUCACACAGCGACAGAGAAGAGGAAUUUCUUUUCUUGUGGAAUGAUUAAAGUCCAUGGCCCAUUUGUAAGGAAACAACUUCGUUGUGACUUUUGGCUUUUCAAGGGAAGGGCAUGUUUGUCAUAGCUUGUAAGUUUGUUUUUUUUUUUAAAAGUUGUGAUAAUAUAUUUGACAUAAUUUUUAUUUUUGUAUAUGAGUUAAAAAUAAUCUAUAAAAAUUAAAAAGAGUUUAUUUUUGAAAGGUUUAUUUAAAAAAAAUAAUUUUAAUUUUAAAAUAAACAAAUUUAACAUAUAUUCAGUUAUACAAAAACCCUAAAAAUAUGUCCACCCCAUCUCUCCUUUAUCUCCGUAUUGCAAGUGAGUGUGAUGGGAGUCUUUUAUUUCGUAUCACGAAACUCGUGAAAAAAUUGGGUAACUCGAACAUCGAUAGUGGUAUGAUCAGAGGCUAUUAACGUCCAAUUAAUUUGAUGUAAA